rnacentral:rRNA from 1 species
CCUACGGGAGGCAGCAGUGGGGAAUAUUGGGCAAUGGGCGCAAGCCUGACCCAGCAACGCCGCGUGAAGGAAGAAGGCUUUCGGGUUGUAAACUUCUUUUAAGAGGGAGGAACAGACUACGGUACCUCUUGAAUAAGCUACGGCUAACUACGUGCCAGCAGCCGCGGUAAUACGUAGGUUGCAAGCGUUGUCCGGAUUUACUGGGUGUAAAGGGCGUGUAGUCGGGCUGACAAGUCAGAGGUGAAAUCCCGGGGCUCAACCACGGAACUGCAUUUGAUACUGUCGGUCUUGAGCGUCGGAGAGGCAGGCGGAAUUCCUGGUGUAGCGGUGAAAUGCGUAGAGAUUAGGAGGAACACCGGUGGCGAAGGCGGCCUGCUGGACGAAAACUGACGGUGAGGCGCGAAAGUGUGGGUAGCAAACAGGAUUAGAUACCCUUGUAGUC